GUUGCUCUGCAGCACGUGGGAUCUUCCCGAACCAGGGCUCGAACCCGUGUCCCCUGCAUUGGCAGGCAGAUUCUUAACCACUGCACCACCAGGGAAGCACGUCGCUAAGGUGCAUUGUGAGAGGCUUAUGGUAGACAAAGGUCUAGAGACAAAUGUCUCUAGAAGUGUCAGCGGCCCAAGUCACUCAGACACUGUUUGGCACCAGUGGGCUCUCGCCAGGCUUCCCUCAGGCUGAGAUGAGCAGCCAGGGAUCUGUCAGGUCUCUGGGAAGAGUCUGUUCAGGUUAGGUUUGUAUAGUGGGGUCUGCCGGCAUGGUCUGUAAAGCCACGUCUGCUUGAGGUCUCAGAAGCUGGACAGACAAGGUGUGUAUAACUAGGUGUCUCAGGGGAGGCCUGAGGAGCCAAGAUCAGGCACAUCUGGACAGAAGUGUGUUGGUCAGGUAAGGACACGAAAACCAAAGGUAGGCAGAGACACAGCUGAGUCUGACAGGUGGGACUAGAAAUCCACCAUCGGGUCCGGGUCAGAACUGUGUCCUCAGGUGUUGUCCAAGCAGUUCUGGUGAUGCUCAGGGCGAUGGUCCUGGAGAUGGUCCUGCGUCCCCUGGGAAAGGACUGAAAAGCUGGAGUCGGGCAAAGAGAUGGAGCGCUGCUUCCAUCCAUCUGGAAGGUUCAUGAAUUCUGCGUCUGUCUCAGGUACACAGAGCAGGUCUGUCAGGUAAGGUUUGAGGAGUUGAGGUGAGAUACAGGUUUGUACUUUUGGUUCUUGAACAGGUGAGGUCUGAGCUGCUGAGGUCAGUCCCUGGUUUGUAUUCCAGAUUUGAGGAGCUGAGGUUCAGCACUGGUAGAUAGAACUGAGUUUUUCAGGUAAAAUCUGUAAAGUCAAAGGUAAGCCAGAAGUAGGUUGAAAAGCCAUGUUUAGGUUCAUUAAACUCUGUCCCACAGUUGAGGUCAGGCACAGGUAGGUAGAACAGAUCUGUCAGGUGAGCCCUGAGGAGCCAGGGUUGGGUUCAUCUAGAAAGACCUGGAUCUCUUAGAUGAUCUCUGAGAACAUGAAGUGAAGACAGGUGGAUAGAGGUAGGUGUCUCAGGUGAGAUCUUGGGAGCUGGGACUGGGCACAGGUGAGUAGAUCUGCAUCUCCCAGGUAAGGUCAGGAUAGGUAGGUAGAACUGCAUCUCUGCCUGUCUUGUAGAGAUGUCUUACAAAAUUGAAGAGUUGUGGCCAGGCACAGGUAUGUGGAAUUGAGUUUCUCAGGUAAGGUCUGUGGAGUCUGCAUCUGGUACAGGCUUUAUCCUUGGGUCUGUCAGGGUGAGUUAAGCGCAGGUGGGUAGAGCACGGUCUGUCAGGUAAAGUCUGUGGAGCAAGUUCAGGAAACUGGGUCUGUCCAGUGAAAUCUCAGAAGUCACAGCCAAGUCCAGGUAAGAAGAAUCAAAUGUCUUAGAUGACGUUUGGCGAGCUGAGAUGAGGUACAUGUAAGCAGAGCUACCCUGCCGGGGCAGUCUCAGGAGCCAGGAACAAGCACAGGUAGGCAGAGGUGGCUCACCAUGUGCAGUUUGAGGAUCCAGGGUCGUGCACAGGUAGGCAGAGCUGGCCGUCCAGCUGCAGUCUCAGAAGCCAGGCUCAGUCACAGUAGAACUGACUUGCCACAUGUGGUCUUAGGUAAGCAGAGCUGGUCCACUAGGUACAGUGUAAGGUGCCAGGUUGGUAGAAUUGGUCUUCUGGGUAUCGUCUGAGGAGCCAGGGUCAAGCACAGGUGAGCAGAGCUGGUCUGCUAGAUAUGGUCUGAGGAGCCAGGGUCAUGUACAGGUGGGUAGAGCUGGUCCGCUAGGUAUGGUCUGAGGAUCCAGUGUCAAGCACAGGUAGGCAGAGCUGGUCUGUCAGGUAUGGUCUGAGGGUCCAGAGUUGUGUACAGGUAGGCAGAGCUGGUCCACUAGGUCUAGUCUGAGGAGCCAGGGUCAUGUACAGGUAGGCAGAACUGGUCUUUCAGGUAUGGUCUGAGGGUCCAGAGUUGUGUACAGGUAGGAAGAGCUGGUCUACUAGCUAUGGUCCGAGGAUCCAGGGUCAAGCACAGGUAGGCAGAGUAGGUCCACUAAGUAUGUUUUAAGGAUCCAGGGUCAUGUACAGGUAGGCAGAGCUGUUUGGCUAGGUAUGGUCUGAGGAUCCAGGGUCAAGCACAGGUAGGCAGAGCUGGUCCACUAGGUAUGACCCGUGGAUCCAGGGUCAUGUACAGGUAGGCAGAGCUGGUCCACUGGGUAUGGACUGAGGACCCAGGGUCAAGCACAGGUAGGCAGAGCUAUUCUGCUAGUUAGGUUCUAAGGAUCCUGGGUCAUGUACAGGUAAGCAGAGCUGGCUGGGUAUGUAUGGUCUGAGGACACAGGGUCACAUACAGGUAGAUAGAGCUGGUCUGUUAGGUACAGCAUAAGAAGCCAGGGUCAUGUACAGGUAGGCAGAGCUGGUCCGCUAGGUAUGGUCUGAGGACCCAGAGUCAAGCACAGGGAGGCAGAACUCAUCCACUAGUUAUGGUCAGAGGAGACAGAGUCAUGCACAGGUAAGCAGAGCUGGUCCACCAGGUACAGUCUCAGGACCCAGGGUCAAGUACAGGUAGGCAGAGCUGGUCCAUAAGGUAUGGUCUGGGAUCUGGAGUCAAAUACAGGUAGGCAGAGCUGUCUGACUAGGUAUGGUCCAGGGAUCCAGGUUCAAGCACAGGUAGGCAGAGCUGGUCCACUAGGUGUAGUCCGAGGACCCAGGGUCAAGCACAGGUAGGCAGAGCUGGUCCAGCAGGUAUGGUCUGAGGAUCCAGGGUCAAGUACAGGUAGGCAGAGCUGGUCCGCUAGGUAUGGUCCAAGACUCCAGGGUCAUGUCCAGGUAGGCAGAGCUGUCUGACGAGGUAUGGUCUGAGGAUCCAGGGUCAAGUACAGGUAGGCAGAGUGGGUCCACUAAGUAUGGUCUGAGGAUCCAGGGUCAUGUACAGGUAGGCAGAGCUGGUCUGGAAGGUAUGGACUGAGGGCCCAGGGUCAUGUACAGGUAGGCAGAGUUGGUCCACUAAGUAUGGUCUGAAGAUCCAGGGUCGUGUACAGGUAGGCAGAGUUGGUCUGCCAGGUAUGGACUGAGGGUCCAGGGUCAUGUACGGGUAGGCAGAGCUGUCCACUAGGUGUGGUCGGAGGAACCAGGGUCAUGUACAAGUAGGCAGAGCUGGCCCAGCAAAUGUGGUCUGAGCAGCCUGGGUCAGAGGCAGGUAGGCAAAGCCUGUCUGCCAGGUAUAGUCUUGAGGAGACCUAAGGAGUUACGGUUGAACACAGGUAGGUAGACUUAGCUCUUUCAGGUGCUGGAUUCAAGGGCAAGGGCAAAGGUAUGUACCCUUGGUCUUUUGGUGAUGCCUGAAAGACCAGGGUUAAGCCUGGGUUGGUAGAGCGGCCUCAAUUCAGGCCCACAGCACUGGGGUCUUCUGCAGGUAGGCGGGACUCUGCAGGGCUCAUAGCAGAUACGCAGCCUCUAAGUUAGACAUGAGUAGGUGGAUGUGGCCCCUCUCACGCAAGGACUUUGGGGCCAGCUGUUUGUAUGCUUGGGUCUCGCAGGUGACAUGCUUGGAGCAUGAGGUACAUUGACCCAGGUCCUAGGAGUUAGGUCUGGGGUUAAUCCCAAGUAGGUAGAACCACAUCUCUCAGUGGGGUCUGCUGAGCACAGAUACGCAGAGAUGUUUGCAUCUGAUGAGGUUGGAGGCUCCUUACUGAGGUGUUGGUGCCCAGGCCGAGCAGGGGUUGAUAGUGUUGGAUCUGUGUGUGAGAUGUGGAAAGCCGAGUGAGACACAGACGGUAGACCUGGCUCUCUCACGUUAGGCCUGGGAGCCGAGAUCAGGCCCGUGGAGAGAGAGCUGGACCCCUUGGGAAGGUGUGAGGAGUCUGAGUGCUGGGCUCAGGGAGGGGGGCCUGGGUCUGUCAGUUGAGAUGUGAGGGGUCAAGGUUAGGCACAGAGAGGUAUGUGAAGCCCGGGUCAUUAGCUGAGCUGUCUGGAGCCUGCCUCUGACAGGCGUAUAACCCUGUGGUCUGAGGUACUGGAGUUGAACACAAGUAGCUAGAGUUGACCUCCCAGGUGAAGCCAUUGCAUGCAUACCCAGGGCUGCUCUGUGGCCCUGGCUUUGUCCGUGAGUCCGUGGAUCAGGGUCACAUGGACAGAGGUAUAAACACGAUCUUAGGUGGGUUUUUGUCCCCCGGUUCAGGUACAAAUUGGCAUCCCCGGGCCUGUUAGAUGAAACGAAUGGGGCAGGAUCUAGCCUAGAAAUACGUAAUUGGUAUGAUUGGUAAGGCCUGAGAAGGUGGGUCAGACACAGGUGGGACCCUCAGUGGUAGGCUCAGGCACGGUCAGGUGGGUAGAGUGGACUCUCAUCGAGGGAAAGGCAGAGUCAUCGUAGGUAUGCGUACCUGGGUCUACCUGGGGAGGUGUGCGGAGCCCUUGGGUUCAGGUAGGAGAGGUAGAACGAGCUGAGCCGUGUCAGCCGGCUGUUCUUAGCACCCUGGUCCGGUGUGAUGGGCAGAGCUCAGGGUGGUGCAGGGGCUUGAGGAUCUGUAACCAGUCCAGGGUGUGGUCUGUCACAUUGGGAUCUAGCUGGCAGGGUCUGAAUUAAUCAAGUGGGGAAAGAGAUUGGAUUAUACCUGGUUGGAGAAGGUGAGGUCUGAGGCUCUGGGGCAGGUGAGGCACAGAACAGGGAACUGACUGCAGAGCUACAUCUCAAAGGCGUGGUGUGAGACCCACUGCAGGUGAAGGUGAGGUCUAAGGACCUGUGUCCGCAGCUUGAGGUCUCAGAGGCUCAAAUCGGACACUAGCUUUGCUGGGCCCUCCCAAAACAAAAGUGAAGUCUGAGAACCUGACCUCAGUCAAGGUCAGCAGCCUGGAAUCUGUUGGUCUGAGUGCUGGCUGUCUGCUCAGGCCAGUUUCUGGAUUUGAGUCUAUUGGGUGAGAUCUGAGAGCCAGUGUCAGGCAUGGUGUGGUCUGUGGGACUGUGACAGUCAGGUAAGGUUCCGCCAAACCCAGACCCUUUCUAGGUAAAGAGCCCCAUCAUUUAUCUUAUUAUCCAAGCCAGAAACAUCUGGGCCACAUUUGAUUCUGUCAUUCUUCCAAUUCAUCCUUUUUUUUUUUUUUUUUCCAAUUCAUCCUUUUUAAUUGAACCUCCUGAAUCAGUGGUCUGCAUCCCUGCCGCCCCCAUUCAGGGUAGCAUCAUUCUGUGGACGACCACUGGGGCUCCUAGAUGGUUUCCUGCUUCCAUUCGCUCCUCACCCACAGACUUCUUGGUUCUCCAGCCUUGCCUCUCAGCUUCUACCCUCCAGUUCUCACUCCUUCCUUCAUCUUCUAGGUUGUGCUACACUUCUUCCUGCCCAGCCUGUCUCGUCAGGCUUUCAGGAUAGAAUUAAGCCUUAAUGCCCCAAGGCAUCCAUUGGAUGUAAUGAAUUAGCAUCUCUCUUUUGCCUUUAGAAGGGUGCUGGCCUUGGACCAACCUUGGUAGUACUGAGAAAUUGAGUCACUCAAAGCAUUUUCCGUGGGGCUUAAUUCUCUCACUGUUGAGAAAGGCUGCUCUUGCUGCAGGACCUUUGCAUAUGCUGUUCUGGCUGCUGGAAUCCUUCUCCUCCCUCUGUGCUUCCCUGGGUAACACUAACUCAUUCUUCACAUCCAGGCUCAAGCACCCUCAGAGUCCUUUUAUUCUUGGUUUCCUUUCUCCCAAGCAUUUUAUCUCAUCUUCACAUUUAUUGGCAUGAUUGUUUCAUUUAUAUCUUUCCCCCCCGUGGAUUGUUUGUAUUGCCUAUGCUAGGAACAUGGUAGGUGUUCCAUAAACAGUUGUUAGGAAGACGUGACUGGAGAUCUGAGGAUUCUGAAGGUAAAGUGGAGUCUGCAGUGUGGCACGAGAAGGCACAGUGUGAAUGGUAGACCUCAGUGUGUCUUGGGCUGAGGCUGAAGGUCAGUCAAGCCUAGGUAUGAGCCACUGGGCCUGUCAGUGUCCCAGGAGGCAGGGCUAGGUACAGCUAGGAGGUGCUGGGUCUGUCAGUACAGCCUGAGGAAUCGGGAAUGGGCACAGGUAUGAGGCACUGGAUCUCUCAUUGUCAGAAGUGGCAAGGCCAGGCCCAGGUAUGAGACACUGGGUUUAUCAGUAUCUGAGGAGCAGGGGCCAAGGCCAGGUAGGAGGUGCUGGGUCUUUCAUUGUUCAAGGAAGUAUGCGUGCGCACAGGUAUGAGGCGCUGGGUCUCUUAGUGUUU